UUAACGGCGCCCGUUAAGAAAACCCUAUCUACACUCGAGAAAUGUUCGACCAUAACAGUAAACACGCGACUUGUCAUGAAUUCAGUGUGAUAUUUAUUUGAUGACAAUAAUGAUUUUACUCAUAAAUUAUUCAACUCCGAUAGAAUUCAUAGAAAUGCAAUGCAAAACCUUACGACUUCCUAUGUGCACGAACAAUUCGAGUUAUUGGUAUUUUUAGAGCAGACGAGUUUAACAUGUGAACUUUGCGAACGCCGAAAACUUACGCGAGUGAAUGAGUUUUUAUAAAUUCAUUCAGUGAUGUAGUAAAAACUGCGCCAAGUAAAACAUUUCUUAAUUGUAAAUAAGCGACAAAAAUACGAUGAUCUCAAUGCUCUUAGAAUAGAAAAAUAUUGAUCCAUUCGUCGUCUUAUGUAAAAACGACAUAAUUUAUGAGUGUUAAAAAAUAAACAAUCUAAUCGAGAAAUGAUAAUAAACGGUCAAUUAAUGUUAACGACGAGAUAGUACACAAUGAACGCGUAUAAUAAAAAUAUGCUAUUGACAUUGUACUUAUUUGUUAUCGCUCAAUUAACGACUGUUGGAGUAAUAAUAUGAUCAAAUAAAAAAUCGAUAACGGAAGAUUAAUGUUUAUUUUACAAGAUUGUCCAUAUAAACACAUCACGGGCAACCUAUAGUUGAUUUUCAACUAAAAUCAACGUAAGCCAGUCAUAUUAAGAAUAUAAAUAAAAGUCAGUAAAAUACGCCGUGAACUUUCUAAUGUCGAGUUCACAUAAUGUUAAAUUAUAAUAUUAUUAUUAUCUUGUCGGCAUUACAGAAACUGAAUUCUCAUACUUCAAAAAACUAUGAAAAUAAACCAGUGUUCAUGCACGAACUAAAAAAAGAAGACGAUGAAGACACUACGAGGAGAUGAUGAUUCGACUAAAACCCGUUGGCAUGUUCAACUACAAUAUAUAUGUUUAUUGAACAGUAUUCUUUAAAAACGUUGUAAGAACCACGAGGGUUGCCAGAUGUGUUGAAUUUUAAACGUUUGGGCACGUUUUGUCACACGAGAUUUAUCGGCUACUUGCAAUAGAGAAGGGUUGCACAAGAUAUUGUGUGAAUCACGUAGACGGUUUUUUACCAACAAAAGAAAAACACAACACGCAAUCAACAAUUGAACAUCACAUUAGCAUCCCGUGCACUAGAGAUUAUACCAAUUGACGUUCCUAAAUUAAAACUAAAGCCAAUUAAUGGCUAGUCAUAAUAAGUUAAAAGAGCAUGAUAUUAUUGGAAUCGCUGUAGAACAUUGAGAUACAUUUAUUUAAACAGUCAUAUUAUGACUAUGUACAUCUCUGAGAGGAUAAGUUCUAGACGUAUUGUCCCUAAUGUAUGGCAUUAUCCCGGAAAGUUAUCUACUAGAAAACCGCGAGAGAGACUGGAAAGUGCCUAUCACUAAUUGUACCGCCUCAGAUACAUAUACGUACCCGACUUCACCAGGCCGGUAGGCUUAAUGUUUUACGAAUUCGAAAUAUAGUAAGUAUUUCAUAAAUUACUAUGUAAUAAACUUAUUUUUGCAUUUCAUAAAAUUGUUCAAUGAAAUCAGUUAUGGAUUUUCCGUAGUAUGUUUACUUCUUUAUUCAAAUCUAGCGAUGACUACGAGGCAUUUAAACUAAAAGGACACACAAGAAAAAUACUAUACAAAAAUUGUUCCAAACAGACGAAUAAAAACUAAGUUUCCCGCAAUCAUUUAUACAACUAACAAACCUUUGAAACAAUGUUAAAAUUUCUAAUAGAUGUUAUAAUUAAUGAAUUUUGCAAUUGCAAAAUGCAAUUAAUUGAAUUUUAUACUAGGCAAUUAUUGCUUGGUGUAGGUAGUUAUUACACUAGAAAAAUAUUUUUUUUAGAAAAACUAUAAAAAUAUAACCAUGUUUGAUAUAUCCUCAAGCACUUCAAGCAACAAGACAAUCCGUGAAAGCUUUAACACAUUCAUCUAUAAAAAUAUUAACUAACUAGAUUAAUAUUAUAAUCAUCUACAUGGCACUUAAAUGUUUUGUAUAAUUUAAUUAGAGUUCAUAAUAUUAUAUAAAAUAUUCAUAAUGAAAUACUACAAUUAUGUCUAUUCACGUUUAAACUAUCCAUUUAAUACAUUUCAACUAAGUAACAACUCAUUUACAACGAACACUGAUGUAGAAUACAAUCUAUUCGUAUGUUAAUUUCAUUUAGUCGGCUAUAAAGUUGCAUAAUAACUUAUCACAAAAUUAUACAUUUGUUUAGAGAAGAAUGCAAAAGCAAAUUAAUUAUUAGUAGUAUUAAAAAAAUUUUGAGGUGAUUACGACUUACUAGUUUCUGUGUCGGUAUGCAAUUUCAAACGAAUAAUAUUAAAAAUAAUCAAUUGAGUUAAACUGCUAAUUAAAUUCGGUAUUAAUUUGAAAAAGAACUGUUCCUUUAAUAUUGUAAAAAUCACUGGCGAGUUCAACGAUUACCGACCCAAUUGCGUUUUAGAUUAGAAUAAUCGCUAAACAAUUAACAUAACGCGGUGUCACAUUCAACUCGAUACCUACCAACAAACAUUGAUGUAUUUAACGAUUAGUAUGAUUACGCAAUUAAAAAGUGCAAACCGUUAACAAGCAUUAAAUUGAUAGAACAUCGUCGUCAUAGAUUCAUUAAUCUGAAUCGUAAGCUAAUAUAUGCAAUUUUGUAUGACUAAACAAAAACAAAUGAAUAUUAAUUAAGAAUAAGCUGUAAAAACUACAAGCGAUUGUUUGGACAGUAAUGCAAAAAUAGACUAAAUUUUAAUUGAAAUCAAAAUUGAAUUUACUUUUCGUCGCUGACGGUGUUUUCAAUUAUUAAAAAAACUUAAAAUUUCGUAACAUAUUACAUAACACAAUUAUAUAGCCAAAAUACAAGAGCGAGAGCGUAAAGCGAGUAAAAGAUUGUAAAGUUAUACCAGGCGAGAGUGUAACUACACAACAUAGACCGAUGGUAUUGGAGUUGUGGUGUUUAUUCUCUUUCCGGUAAUAAACAAAAAUAGAAGAAACACGGGGGAAAAAUCGAAGAUCCGAUGGUUGAAAUUGAAAGGGGAAAAUGAAAAAGAUUUUGUAAAGGCGGUAAAAGAGAGGUCGGUGUGGAAUGUCCAGGGAGACAUAAAUGAUGUAUGGAAUAGAUUUGCUAGUUGUGUAAAGUAUACUGCAAAGGAAAGUGUUGAUGAGAGUAGGAGUAGAAUGUCAGGAAACAAGGAAACUUGAUGGUGGGAUGAGGACGUUCAAAAAAUCAUAGAGAGUAAGAAAAAGCAAUUUAAAGUAUGGCAGAAGAGCAAAAGGAGAGAAGAUUAGAUGGAGUAUAAACGUUUGUGCAAAGAAAAUAAGUGUGCAGUAAGUAAGGCGAAGUUUAAGAGGUAUGAUGAGUUGUAUGAUAGGCUAGGAACAAAGGAAGACAUGAAAGAAAUCUAUAAACUUCAAAAGGUAAGAGAGAAAAGGUCUAAAGAUUAUCAUUAUAUAAGGUGUAUAAAAAGUGUUGAUAAUAAAGUACUCUUGAGUGAUGAUGGUGUGAAAAAAAGGUGGAAAGAGUAUUUUGAAAAAUUACUGAAUGAGGAGUACCCAAAAGAGACAUUAGAGGAUAUCUCGUGGAAUGAAAGACUGGUAGAUUUAAUUAGUGAGAAAGAGGUAUGGGAGGCUAUGGCAUCAAUUAAAAAGAAUAAAUCAGUAGCACCAGAUGAAGUAGAAGUAGAAGUACGGAAAAUAUUAGGUGGUGUUGGCAUAAGGUGGUUGAAGGAACUUUUAAAUAAAAUCUUAUUAGAAGGGAAAAUUCCAAAUGAAUGGAGGAAUAGUAUUGUGGUGCCAAUAUUUAAAGGUAAAGGUGACAUACAGAAGUGUGGAAAUUAUAGAGGCAUAAAGUUUAUGAGUCAUAGUAUGAAAAUUUGGGAAAAGGUAAUAGAUAAGAAAUGAGACAUCGGUAUCUAAAAACCAGUUUGGAUUUAUUUAAAGUGGGCAUUAAUGAGAAAAUGAGUCCCGAAAAGGUACAUUAAUACAAUAGAAGAUAUCUAUGAUGGCACUUGUACCAGGGUAAAAAGCGUAGGAGUAUCAGAAAGUUUUCGGAUAAGAGUAGGAGUGCACUAAGGUUCUGCUUUAAGUCAUUAUUUAUUCUCUAUAGUGAUGGAUGAAAUUACUAGAGAAAUACAAGGAGUGGACCAUGGUGCAUGUUAUUUGCUGAAGAUAUAGUGUUAAUAAGAGAAAAUAGGGAGGAAAUUAAUCAAAGGCCAGAGGUGUGGAGAUCAGGUCUUGAAGAAAAGGGUUUAAGAAUAAGUAAAAGUAAGACAGAGUAUAUAGAGUACGAGUUUGACAAAUGAGAACACGAGGUAGGUGAAAUGAGGAGGUCAGUGACAAUAGGCAAGGACGUGAUUGGAGAGGUGGAGAGUUUUAAGUAUUUAGAGUCAGUUGUACAAAAGAGUGGUGGUAUUGAAGAGGAUGUAAGACACAGAUUUAAGUGCGGGUGGUUGAAGUGGAAAGAGCGUCUGGCGUCUUUUGCGAUAAAAGAACUCCAAUGAGGCUGAAAGGUAAAUCCUACAAGACUAUAGUGAGGGCAGCUAUGAUGUAUGGUUCAGUGUGUUGGGCAGUUGAUAAGUAGAGCAGAAAAUGAGUGUAGCAGAAAUGAGAAUGCUUAGAUGGAUAAGCGAAGCGACUAAAGUAGAUAGGAUAAGAAAUGAGCAUAUAAAAGUGAGUAUAGGUGUAGCGUCAAUCGUGGAUAAGAGAGAAAAUAGACAGAGAUGGUUUGGUCAUGUUAUGUGGAGAGAGGAAUCGGAAGUUGUAAGAACAGUCAUAUAAAUGAAUGUUGAAGGAAGAAGAGGUAAAGGAAGAUCAAAAAAGAGAUGGAAGUAUGUUAUUGAAUGCGAUAUGAGGACGGCUGAUGUGAGCGUAAAUGAUGUGGGAGAUCGUGUCAAGUGGAAGUUUAGGAUAAGGGUGGCCGACCCCAAGUAGUUGGGAUUAAGGCGAGGAAGAAGAAAAAGAAGAAU